ensembl:lncRNA
AACAUAUAAAAUAACACGUUAAUACAUGAAGGAGUAUUCUCCAAUUCUUAGGAUUAACUACAGCUAUUUAAAAUAUUAUUUUCAACAGACAGAAGUACUAAUUACUCCUUUAACUGAGAUUCCAUUUGUAGCAAAACACGGUUAAAAUUCCAUCAAGAAAACCAGUGAGAAGCAAGCAUUCAUAUCCACCAUGUUUGUGGACUAGCAGUAAAUUCAGUUGAUCAGUAAUGUAAUCAAAUUAAUACAUAGUAAACCAGUACAUAUACCAGGAGAACAUUUCUUCUUUUCCAAAGCUCAACGAUACCAGAAAUUAAAGAGAAAAAAAGAAAAGUAGAAGGUAAAAAAUAGUAUUAGAGCUCAAAUUUGAGGCAUUGAAAUAUAAAUCUUUUAUCUCUACCAAAGGUAGAAAAACAUCACAAAUAUAUAAAUUAAAUAAGAGCAAAAAACUUUGACACAGGUUGCCAUUUCUUACCACAUUCACUCAACCAGAUCAUCCUUCAUGCUUUAAUCAGUUUUAGGAGCAAAGUAGUUCUCUUUCUAAAGACCUAAAGAGGAACACCAGUGGAGCAGGGAAUGCAGGGAACACUGACAUUUCACUCCAUAAGUUGGUACCCAAAUCUUUUUGCCUUGAGAAAGAGAGCACUGGGAUCAUGGAUAUAAUUACAAAUUGUUGCAGCUACUGGCUCUGUCAGUGUUAGUUUAACCUGUACCCUGCAAGAUUCCUGUUUAUUUAAGACCUCCAGGUCUCUAUAUUACUCUUGUCAGCACGGGUUAAGGACACUUAAGAACAAGGAAGAAGAAAAAUUCACAGCCUUUGCCAGCCACCCUCAUCUGCCCAUCAAACCAGCCUUGCCCAGAUCUUUUGGCCUAAAGAAUGAGAGCAGGACUUCCUAGCAAGGAAAGUAAUGCCAAGGAAACAGAAAUCCUUCCUUAUGGCAUAAGAGGGCUUUGCUCCCUAGCAACCUCCAUCCUUACAGAACCAAAUUUUCUCAGGAGUGCUGUGCUCCCAGCUCACCUACUCCAUCUCAGAGAACUCACAGGAGAUUUGAGAAGUGCAGCAGACUCUCCUUUGGAAGCUCAUACCACACAAGCUGUUGAUCUUUCUCUGUACUGGGACUGCAGAUGGUCUGUCGCUGUUAAGAUACUUUGUGCAGCUGCUCAUACUAAAUUACUCCACAAACUUCUACUGUUUUCUUUCCUUUUGCUUCUAUUCUUUCACCAGUUCUUGUUGUCUACCUUGCCCAUGGUUCUAUGGGAGACAUACACCCAUCAUUUUUUGGUGGCUUCCCUUGGGGUAUGUUUUACUUUUUUUUAAUCUUCUUUUUCCAAGUACUUACCAUUUCUGUGGAAAAUCAGAGCAGCAUCUGGGGAGAUAUCUCAGUCCAGCUUACCAAGCAGCAGCAGUGCUCGCUGGACCGGACGCUGGCAUGGCGCUCUGAAGACCUGGUGUCAACUGUCAUCAGCCCAGGCACAUAAAGGAACUUUGGAUAAAUCCUUUCACCUCUCUGUUUAUGGAAUCUCUGCAUAUUUGGCAUUGAUUUUCAAAGCUUCUAUAAAUUAAGAGCAUUCACUUCCGUAUGUUUUUAUAGAGCCUGAUAUAAUGUGGUCCUUAUUUUAUUUGAGCUUACCGAAGUAUGAAUAACUAAGAGGAGUCCUACAUUUCAGAGUUGAAAUCAGAAAUACAACUUCCAGCUCUUAUUUGUGCCUAUGCACUUACUUCUUAUCUGGUUCUUUCUUUAAGAUGCAGUCAAAAUUAUCUCCUCCUGUUGUACAGAAAAUUAAUCAAGCAAAUAACCCUCACUUCUUACAACUGAGGAAAGUGCAAGGUACGAAAGCAAAGUGAUGUAUGUUGAAACAAGGAAGCAAAUGCUGUUUGUUAUUCUUACCAGAGCACAAUGACAUACUUGCAGGUUUGGAGAUUAUUUACUUUCUGAAAUACUUUUUAGGAGUUUAUUAUGGUCAUAUUCACAAUUGGCCUCAGAGAAGGGCAUGGACUUGGAGCUCGUUCAGAGUAAUUUAAUUAAUCUUAUUCAAAAAAGCAACAGCCAACCAUUACAGCCCAAGUCAAUACUAAAAUGAUUUCCCAAAACUCAUUACAAAGUCACUUUCAGGAAACAACUGGUAGUUCCAGAACUCAGAGGCUAAACUAUAAAUUUAAUUUUCUUUAAAGUCUGUAAAUCAGCAUUUAAAAAAAAAAUGGUGUGUUUCCAUUUCCUUUAAAUAAAGUAUGGUGCCUUGGGAGGCACGUCUUCUUUUUUUGUCUAAAUCCUCUUUUUUUUUUUCCUUUUUUUUUUGAAGUUAAUAUAUUUGGUACAUUUGUUACCACAUCAUACUGCCUCGAAAUAUAAACAAAACUCAUUUUAUUUCAAGAAAAUAAACACACAGCAUAAAUUUAAUCUGCCUGCCUGCCUACCAGAUGGAGAAAAGAACAGGGCCAAGUCACUGACAGAGUAACUGUUUAAUCACAUCAGCUUGAUGUUGACUUACUUAUAAAUACAAACGAGUCCACUUGCACCCUUGGGAACUCGCUGUGUUUUCCCCCAGUUUCUGAAAAUACUUGCAAAUUAAGUCUUUAUUCACUGUUCAGAUCACUACAGAGGAAAUACCAUAUUUAUUACUGAUGGUUCAUUUGGAUACCUGUAUCAUGAUCCACUGGGAGAUAAAUCGCUCCAUUUCAUAAACUGAGUCAACCUCCAGUUAAGUAGAGAAGUUUCUGUGCUAGUUCUGAUGAACUUUUAUUGUAGGCAUUAAAAUUUAUGUAAUUCAAUUUCACAGACAGUGCCACUUGAACAAGAUAUUUACUCAGGAACAAUCAAUAGGUGCCUUGACACUGCCCUCACAGGAUAAGGAUUUAGUCAAUACCAACAGCCACGGAUGCUCCUUGCAAAACCUGAUUCUGAAGAGACGAGCAUCGGGGCAGAAUACCUGGAAGUCUGACACCAGUCUUGCAGUGUGGCAUGGAACACCGACUCCAGCAGUCAGAGACCUGACCUGUGCCUCACUUCAGGUGAAGUUCAUGUCUUGCAGCUCCAGGGCUGUUCUCACAGCUUUCCCAGAAAGAGAAUUUGACUUUUGGUAUGCACUUUCUGGAGAUGAGAGUACACUGCUGCUUAUUUUUAUCUCAGAUCAAAUGAUGAGCAAUCACAUCUGGAGCAGGAUGCAGAAGAUCUGAAUAGAAGCCCAAGUUCUGUCACAGAUGCACAACAGAUUUUGGCAUGAUAGCUCCUGAUGUAGAUAUAUUCUGGCUAACUUUCAAGCUAACCAGGUGGGAUAUGUAUAGCUGGAAGUCCUUAGGUAGGAUUCCCAGUCCCCAGCCUUCUGUACUUUUAAAUCUGUGCUGCUCAUGGUAUCCAGCCUUGUCAGCUCCAAAACUAGGCAGAAUGUGCCUGCAUUGACCGACACAUCAAUGUCUGCCUUGCAGAACAGCAGCUAUUCAGGCUCUGAAUCAUCCUGCUCUGUCAGGGCAUGGGGAAGGACUGGGAAGCCAGAAUCAUGGCAUCUGAAACUUCAUAUUCCUGCACUCUGGAGAGACCCUGUGGGUGAGCCCUGGGAGCCAGAGGCCUCAAAGUGCCAGAGGGCAACCAUGGCUUUUGGUGUCACCUAUGAAACUGAGGACUUGAAAUCCCUGACUUUAACCUGAAUACAGAUCCUUCCACCUUAAGCCCUUUCCUAAUGAAAUCAAUAUUCUGGUCAGCUCUACUGCUAAGAAAAACAGCUGUAGCAGGAAGGGGAACAUAUUUUGUUUUCCCAGGUCCCUGCGCUGAUGUUUCUCAAAUGAAAUUUUCUCUGACGUUCAGGCAUAAAAUCUUGAAAUUAAAAUGAAAUGUAAUUGCUAAUGAAUGGAAAGUAUUACAUGCUGGCCAGCUCUAUUUGUACAUACAAAAUAUCCUAGACACCUCAAAGUUUCUUUCAUGCCAUCUCAGAUUAUUGUCCUUUAUUGUUUUACCAAGAUCUCCAAAGCCAGCUGCUUAGGGGUUUUCACUGCCCAAACUCCCACUCGUUAUUCCAUUUGACACUCGGAUCCCUUGAGCAGCACUGAAAAAUUACUAAGCCUUAAUAUCUGUGCAAGAAUUCCAAACAAUAGCUACAACGAAGGAACUGGUCCUGGCACUAAAAACCCAUGAAUAUGUAAGACAAAUUGUAUCUGGAGAGAUAACGGGCUACCAGAAUCAUCUUUCAAAAGAUAUACAAUGUAAGCUGCACACUCCUCAAUAGCUCAAGGGGCUUACAGUCAAUAAAUUUAACAGGCUCAACCUAGAAAGUCAAAGCUAAAGUACAGUAUGCAAAUACAAGCUAGAGUGGACUCUUCUUUCUACCUUAGGACAGAGUUAAUAGAGGGGAAAUGACAAAAUACAUAAAAAGGAAUGCACGGGAUUUGACAGAGCAUGUUUUUUUUUCUUUUCACUUCAAGGCAAACUACCAGACUAUUUUGGUUUACAAAUAAAUCAAACAAAGAACUUUUAUCAGUUUGCAUAAAAGUCUCAUUUUCAGCACUGGAAAGAUUAAGCUUCAGAGCCUUUUUCUGUGUGUGUAUGUGAGGGAUUACAAAGGAAGUAGUGUAAAUAAUGACCUUGCUGAAAACAGAUUAGCUUCAAUGAUUAUAUAGUAAAAUAGUAAUGUUUUCUUCACUUACAGAUUAAAAUAUCAAUUGACAGUUUCCAUAAACAAGUAAAGCUCAUGGUUAUUCAGUGUAAUAGGAUAAUGACAGUAGCAGUAUCUGACAGUCCCAUUUCUGCCUCUUGACAUUAUUUAUGGUAUUCUGAUGCUCAGUCUAGGGAGCUGGAUCUUCAGCUUUGCCAGAUGUGUUUGCUGUGGCUCAGUGUUUAUGUGACAAAAACAUUUCCUUUAGGAAUUUCCUUUAUUUUACAGUUAUGUGGUCACACUAAAUACAAAUGUAUUGGACCCAUCACAUUCUUAUGGUUAUAAUCUUUUAAAGUCAACUUUUCAAGACCUACCCCUACUGCUUUCAGGUGACUAAGAGCACAUAUGGGCUGAUUUCUCACUAGCUUACCCCUCAUACUGACAUCUACACUUAGUUUAAGUUGUCGGUCAAAACUGAAGCAGCUGGACUAUUCCCAUCGAGACUCUGUUUUUCUUUUUUUUCUCUCCUGUCUUUGCUGUUUCUAAAAAGUACUACAAAGGAUGGAAACAGCAUACAUGGGAUGGAUACGGUGUUGGGUGUGGCAGGCCAGGUCUCUGCUCUGACUCAGUGGGGACUCUCAGGACAGAAAAAUCCAGCUUUGAGAGGGGCAGAGCAGAAGAAGGCUCCUGUAGUCCAAGUUAGUAUUUUAAUACAGAAAGCAACAGGCAAAUAUUCCUUCUCUUUGUGAGCAGGUCAGUGUUUAUGAGCACAAACUCAUCACAGGAGCCUUGGCUUGCAGUACCUGGGUUCUUCAAACAAAGCAAAGUGCAGUCUUGUCUAGCAUAUGUCCUGGCAGAGAAACCAGGGCUUUAAAGCAGCCUAUAAAAAUUAUGGUACACUAGCAAAAUUGGUUAAUGUUUAAUUAUGUUCAAUGGAGAAAGACUUAAAAGCCUGAAAUUCUGACUUCCUAAAUUGUCAAUCAUCUAAAAGACGCAGUAAGUUAAGAUUUUUCUCGAACAGUAUCUUCUAUAAAAUUUAUUAAGCUGUAUGACACUGAGCCUGGGUUUCUACUUUAACUUCAUGCCAAUGGAAAGGAAGAUAAGCAGACAGGAAAGAGGGUAUUGUGCUAUAGACUUGAGGUGCUGGAUUUUUUUUUUUUCUUUUAAAUUCUAUCACAAAACUUGUUUUAGGCAGAUCUCUGAAAAGAGCUCCCCCGAACUGGUCAAUGCAUCUUCAAAAAGGCUGUUAACCCUAACCGUGGGUAUUUGUACUCAUGGUAUGCCAUUUCUUAGCCUGUGUCUCUACAACAGUUUGUGAGUGCUGCGUAAUGGGGCUGUAGGCAAACACUGUGUAAAGCAGUCACAUCCAGCAAUGGUAGCAGUCUGUCUUCAGAAGCACAGAGCACAGUUCAAGCUACAAAAUCCAUUCAGAAUGUCGAAAAAAAUCAAGGAGAUUAACUUAUGCUGCACUCAGUGCUGCUCUAGUUGGUUUAAAACCUUAGCCAUAUUUACACUGAAGGGUCAAAAUGGUAGAAACAAACAAAACAAAUGAGCCUCAGCACCUGUUGUACAUGCAAGUAAUUGGAAAAAAAAAAGGCUUAAAAAACAGGCUGCCAACCUUUGAUCUAUGGAGAAGGUGUCUGGACAUCACACAAGAUAUGACAGAGGAGCUCUCAAUGUAGAAGGGCAAUAGUAAGAAGCCACCCAGGGAAAGCAACAGACUAAUCUCAGAGUCCAGUGUAAGCAGAAAUCUUCUAACAGACAAAAUCAAUCCCUUCCAUGUUUUCUUUGUAGCUAAGUUGAGGAAACUAUCUCACGUAGAGAGUGAAAAAUGCACAUCCAGUGUAAUAAAUCUGCAUCCACAUAUGUCUAGCAAUUCACUUUUUCUUAUAAUUACCUUUUCUCUGUUAGUUCCUCUUGUUUCUUCAGCAGUCAUCCCAUGGAUACUUUCACGAAGAUGAUCUUGAGAAUAGAGAAUGCGCUGUCUUGUAAAGAGAAGAGAAAAUAAAAGGUUUUUGAGGGUUCUAUUCACCAUAACACGCCCAAGGGACUUCACGUACCAUCUAACUGUGCUGAUGGUAGCAGGAAAAGGCAACAGACAAAUGUAAAUUGACAAACUAGAACGCUGUUGUGCUUUCAGACUGCAUUAAAAAAGUGAAAGUCUAAAUGUUUUUGCUUUUCUUUACUGUUGCUUAGAAGUCUUUGAGGAAAGACUGAUGUUCCUUUUCCUUUACUUUUCCCAAAGUUUUAUUUUCCAGGUGUUGGGCCUGCAAAGAGCUGCUUUUAAAACUCUGGCGACAAUUUUACAUUCUGAAAGGAAUUCAAACAUUUUCACUUGCUCCAAAAUAUAUCAACUUAUAUAGCUUAUAUAACAAAUAUAGCUUAACAUUAAAAAAUACGGUGCCAUUACAUUUAUAAAACCCAAACCUUAAAUUCUUCAGUAUAAACUCCUUUACUUGUCAACUCUAUUUCAAUACAGAAAAAUAAUUUUAAAUACGAUCACUAUAAUAUCCUUAUGACAUACUUUUUUAUGAAGGUAUAGGAAAGGAGUCAGCAGUAUUCUGAAUACUAACUGAACAUAGCUUAUGACUAUGGCUAGCCAGACAGUAUUUGAAGUAGAUGGGAUCUGUUUCUGCUUUGUCUGAUCUUUGCCCAUAUCUAACCUAUAAAAAAGGCAAUUACUGAAGCAAAUGAUGAAGUUAGUAUUCAAUAAGAUAGUAAACUACUCAGUCAAAUGGUAUCAUACAGGUAAGAAAGGUCAAAUAGAAUUGAAACAGCAUAUUUAAGAAGAGGUAGGAAGCAUCAGCCCUAUCUACAAACAAUCAGUGAAGGGUAGGAUUUUCAACAGCCCCACUGAAGUUGAAGGGAAUCUCCCACUGACUCAAGCCAGUCAAACUUUAACUUUUAACUUUUUGGAAAACUUUAACCAAUCUAAUUUCAAAGGUCAUGUGCUUGUUGUUCAAAAUUAUGUGACUGUAAAUAACUUUUGUUACAGCAAAUGCUUAUCUGAUUUUAUAUUGCAUAACAAAAGGAUACAAUCUCACUCUGUAAGAUGCUCUAAACAGCGAAUUAUUUGUGAAGCAGUUCUAUCAUUACCUUAGUUGCCACUUGCUGUUCUCGAGUCCACAUUUUGUUUGUGUCACUGGUUCUAUUAAACUGCAGUGUUUCUUUUUUCUAAUUGUUUUUUGUUUUUCUGAAGUAAAUAUAAAUGUAAAGUUAGUGGUUAAAGCUUGUCUUACCUUUUCUUCUGAACAGUCAGGGUCUUUACCUCAGUCUCUGUAAACAAUACUUUGGAGUAUUCACUCAGUUGUGGUGGCCAGACCAGCAGUAACCAAUCACUAACUAAAACUACAACAGUGCUGACAUAUAGCUGUUGCGCUGUUGCCCCCAUGCCCACCAUGGACACAACACCCUGCCCAGACCUUCAGUCCUGAGCAAGCAGCAGUGGUUGAACCAAAAUACCACGCGGCCACUCUUGCGCAGAGUGCCUUGGACAAGCAUCUCAAUUUCCUUGAGCCCAGAGGUCUUCAGCACAAUGACAUGGUAACAGCUUUACGAGCAAACACUAUCUCACAAGUGAUGGGAUAUAAACCUGUUUUCAGAGAGCUGCUUGCAGUGCCAUAAGUCUGUGUCAUCGUCCCUUCCAUCAUACUCAUGCACGCUGAAAGGGCCACGAGAUUCAUUCAAAUCUUGGAGGCUUCUCUUAUCGAGUAACAAUAAAUGAAGCUCUGCAGGUCAAAUCUUGAUUAUAAAUUGCAUCCAAGUACCUGCUAAAUUGUAAAACUCUUGGGAAAGCUGAAAAUCACCAUUAUCAUUAAAUGCCACCCCUAAAAACGCAUAAGAAACACUGUCGCUUGUUCUAGGGUGGAAGUUACUGUUAUGGAGACAUUACCAUUACCAAGUAUUUUUUACAUCAUCUAAGAAGUAUGUAUUUAGCUUAAUUGUGGUAAAACUAGAUAGUAUUCUGUUGAUUUCGUAAUUACCACAAAAACUGCAAAAUAAAAUACAUGUUUUGGGGGAGGGAGACUGAGAAUUUGAUGUAGUUUAUAAUCAACAACAUUGUUCACAAUGACAGAUCUGAGUAUACAGAAAUUAUUUCACGUCACAGCACUGGUGCUAACACUUGCUUUUCCACUUGCUUUUCAUUACCAUUGCAAAGUAGUUUUCAUAGACAGUGCUUAUUUUAGUCAUGGCAGAAACUAAUGAAUUUUUCAGACUUGUGUCUGGGUUUUAUUAUACUCCUAUACAAUCUUUUAUUAUACUCCUACAAAAUCUGGUUUUUAUGUAUUGUACUAUCAAAGAGUGGGCUGAGGAUGCCCUUACUUCCCUUUGAAUCUUUUUUACAACUUUAUAAUUCAGAAAUUUAAACUUCUCUUUACCCGUUAUGAACUGCUAACCUCUGAGUCUGGCCUUGGUUCUCCCGCUGGGUCACCAUGAAACGAUCUGCAUGAUGGUCACAUCCAGAGCCUCUCCUGUUUGGGCCCUGCUCUACUAAACAAUGUAAAAACAAGGCCGUAAAUAAUUCCCCCUCUCCCAGAGCCUGCAGUCUGCUAUGUUUACAGUACAGGUUUCAGUGAAGUAAAAGGACAGCUGAGCUAAUUCAUCUAAAGCUAACACUCAUAUCCCUGCUCCGUAAGCACAACCUAAGUAGGUAAGACAAGGGAGAGCAAAACGGGUACUAAAUAAGUGAUAGGAAAAGGGAAACUCAUAAUUCUUCCCUCCACGCAACUGACAUGAACGAGGUAUUCACAGCAAGAGAUCCAGCAGAGAAGACAAGGCAUCGAGUACAAGAAGCUGUCAGUCUGAACAUCAUUCUGCCCUUCCUGAGAAAUCCUUCUUCGAAGAGACAGGACCACCACAGAGCAAUUCCCAGCCCUGCUGGAUAUGGAAGCUGCUGGAGGAUGUUGCCAUAAGGCAGAACAUGUGGCUGCCCUGGUGCCCAGGGAAGGCAGCAGCACUGAUUGGCUUUGUGCUGUUUGCUAGCAAAAUAGAAAGAGAUAAGACAUAUGGAAGUUUGUCUAGCUGAUGCAACAAUGUACUAGAAGCCAGCAAACACCGAGCACUGCUCUGUUUCUUUUGCAGCUUUUACUUGGUCAGUUCAUAUUGCUCCAUAAAUCACUUUUCUCAUUCAAAAAAUAAAAUAAAAUAAAAGACAAAACAGGACAACAAUUUUUCUUACCUCUCCCUUAUGUGGAUAAUGAGUACUGAGCUGGCAGACCCUGGCACAGAAGUGGUCUGACAUAAAGGUGUGGAGAGAGCAGCACUAAGGAGAAUAUGCCGUUUCUUCCUUGACCAGAUGGGGUUUGAGUGAAUGCCACCUAAUGCAGAACAGAGGAAGAAAAGUAAAGACGUUGUAUUGAUAGGUAGAUACUGUGAGGUCAAAGAGCCUUAAAAAAAAAGUUUGAAAUUGCAUAAAAUUGAUACUUUCACACAAACAAUUAUUUCCCCUUGUACCAUCUACUGCUACAG